rnacentral:lncRNA from 1 species
CACAACAUGAUUGUGGAGCACGAAGGUGAAACGGCUCUCAACUGGAGAGAUGAUGAUGGGGCGUCUAGCAGUGCUUCGACGGAGAGUGCUGGACAAACACCGGUGUCCUUCGAGGAAUAUGUGCGAAGGGAUAUAAUUCUCCGAGAUAGACAUCUACAUGCUCAGCUCCGAAAUGAUUUGAUGGAGUACCUUUGGGCACGUUUCGGACCUCUAGGACCAG